GUUUUUCUCUAUGUGUGUAGAUUAUUUGUAAAUUUUGAUAACUUUCAUUUUUAUUUUUAGAAUGUCACCCUAACUUUGAGCUCAGUUUUGACUUGUGUGUGUUCCACAAUCAAUUCCAAUAUAUUUCUACUUCACUAGGAUCUUAACUAGUAAGAAUGGUGUUCUUUUCAUUAUGAUUAAAAUACUGUAUCCCCCAAAUUUACAUUCAAAUUUUCAUUACAAAACAAAUAAUUCUAUCUUUAUUGUUGCAUGUAACCAAAGGGAAUUUGAACUACUGUUCGAAAUUUCACCUUCAAAGGAAGGAAAUGUUAAAAGCUUUGCUUUGAACUAGCUGAAUAAAGUAAUCAAACCAUUACUGGAUUAACGGAUUUUGUAUUUGAAAAAUCUGAUGACACUCACAGAGCACCAGCAUCGCUUAAUUAUUCACAAAGUUCUUCAGCUGUUAGACCAUAAGAGCGUUUGAAAUGGAAAAUGAGCAAAUGUAAUUUGAAAUAAUGAACAUUGAUCUAAAUGAAAAGUCAUUCUUCAUUUAGUGAUCUCUGAACUUACAUUUGGCAAGCGCACGUAUAAAAUCAUUUUGAAGGACAAUCCUCUUAAACUCACUUGAAGUAGACACUGAUUCUUCUUCAUCAGAUUUUUAUCCUGUUUUUUUUUUUUUCCUCAGCACCAGCAUCACCCCAUUUGAUGUUGGCAGGAUCUCACUCCUGGAAGAUGGAAAUGGGCUUUCCAUUGAUGACGAGUUUCUCAUUUUCAGCCUUGACUGUGCCAUUGAAUUUGCUAUGGGUGGAAUCAUACUAAACCAUGCUCGCCAAUGUGUCUCAGAGACACGGCUGGCACUGCACCGGAAGAUGUGGCUGUCUCUUGAAGUGGGAGGAGUACCUGUGCUAUCGUUAAUACAACCAUGGAAGAGUUCAUGCAGAGAUUGUUCUGGGAUGAUUUCCUAAAGAAGUUUGGGAAGAGCAUCUGGAAGUCAGUUUACUCCCCAGUGAAAGAGAUAGUUGUAUAAGGAAAAUAUCCUUUUUGGCCCUCUUCUCCAUCUUUUCCUGUUUGGGUGCUGUUGGAUGAAGAUGGCAUGCCUAGAGCUGUGGCAGCCAUUUUGUGCCCAUGAGGUGAAAAAAAAAUAUGGGGAUGAAAACAAACACAUAGGGAAUGAAGGAUUAGAGCAGUGGAAAGAACCAGUGUCUUUUAUCAUAUCAUUCAGCUGCCAAAACAACUCUGCCUCCAUACAGCAUUCUUGGUAAGUAAACAAUAUGCAUACUUACACAGUGGUUCAAGACACUGUAAUUUAGACAUUUUGUUCCGACACUGGAAUGCAUCCUAACUGAGACAGAUCUCUUGGGUCAAAAAAAUCACAAACAGAUAUUAUAACAUCUCAUAGUAUAGUAUGUUUCAAAUAUGUUUCAAAAACAUCUGAAACAACUAAGGAAUACAGGUUAAAAGAGUAACUUUGGCAUAUUGCCAAUAUAUUU
rnacentral:lncRNA from 1 species